GAUAGAUAAAAUGCCGGCAUCGGAAUCGUAUCGACUGACGCAUCCCGAGUUGAUGCUAGAAUCCGAGCUGAGAGAAAUAUUAGAAAACGAGUCUCCAGCAAAGAAGAGACAGAAAAUUACAUGGCCAUGAGAACACUGGAUUGCUUACCUUAAUUCUCAUAAGAUAAAACUGGGGACAAACGUACUGCAAAAUAUAAUUUUGCAAUAUUUGUACUGUUUUACAAGUACGAGAAUGUUACAGAAGACUUCGUACAUUACAAUAAUGAAUUAUGUAUAUAGAUUUAUUCUCCUAGCAUGACGGGAAUGUACUUAUUGUACAGGAGAGCAGGCUGCUUCGUAGUUUGAGCAUAGAGAUCAAUUUUUUAAUCAAAUGAAUUAAGGUUUUAAACAGUAUUUUAAAACCAAUUUCGUCAUCAAUAUACGAGAGUAUUAAUAGAAUCUGUUAUUUGUUAAUCGUAGCUUCUAAUUUAUACAAAUGAAAUACAAGAUUUUAAGACAG